rnacentral:rRNA from 1 species
GUGGGGAAUUUUGGACAAUGGGCGCAAGCCUGAUCCAGCAAUGCCGCGUGCAGGAAGAAGGCCUUCGGGUUGUAAACUGCUUUUGUACGGAACGAAACGGUCCUGGUUAAUACCUGGGGCUAAUGACGGUACCGUAAGAAUAAGCACCGGCUAACUACGUGCCAGCAGCCGCGGUAAUACGUAGGGUGCAAGCGUUAAUCGGAAUUACUGGGCAUAAAGCGUGCGCAGGCGGUUUUGGAAGACAGGCGUGAAAUCCCCGGGCUCAACCUGGGAAUUGCGCUUGUGACUGCAAGGCUGGAGUGCGGCAGAGGGGGAUGGAAUUCCGCGUGUAGCAGUGAAAUGCGUAGAUAUGCGGAGGAACACCGAUGGCGAAGGCAAUCCCCUGGGCCUGCACUGACGCUCAUGCACGAAAGCGUGGGGAGCAAACAGGAUUAGAAACCCCAGUAGUCC